AUGCUGCCGCUGUCUCGCCCCGGGUCACCGUGCUGCAACCUGUCGGGACCCCUUCAGGUGCUCUCGCUGCCUCCAGCCCGGCCAUCAUGCUCGAGGAUGCACCAACGCGUGGCGUCCGCUCAGCGAUUUGAAGACCCUGCGGCAGCACCACCUGUGCCUCCACUCGCUCCCCGGCCACCGGCUCGUGGUUGGCCUGCUCCUCCGCAAGCCCAGACGCUGCCCUCGUCGUCAUGGCCGCACCUCAGCGACGCUGCUCUACAGGUGGAAGAUUCCACUGUUCCAGAUGUGCUGCUGCAAGCACCGUUCUACUCAGGUCACGCGGCGACUGUUUGGCUCGCGGGGGCACAGUCCGAUGCUGCUUGCAAGGCUGUGGCGGUGGCCCUUGCGUCUGCUAUCGGCUCAAGCAUCGCUGAUAUCAGGGUUGUCCGUCAGUCUGUUGACAAUGUUGCUGCUGAUCAUACAGUGAAGAUCUCUCGUGCUGCUUCCCCGCCCAAGCAAACGCCUUCGUCCACCGUGUUGGUGGCUAAUUCUACUGCAAGUGAAGUUCUCCGCAUUUGCUCUCCAGCUAGGCCCGUGCUGCCCUCACCGUCUUCAUCUGCAUCGCGCCCUCCAGGAUUUGAGGCCUCUCCCGUGAUGAGCUCCGCUACACAGACUCCGCCCUUCAUCACCGACGCCACACCCCCCAGGCUCCUACUCCUGCACCUUCCAGCGUGGACGUGCUGCCGCCGAUUCUGGAGCCUCUAUUCCAGAGGCAGCAGGCAGCCUUGCUCCCCUCGCCGGCUUGGACGCCUCCUAGGCCGCCGGCUGCAUGACGCAAAACUUUGGCGGGCGUGA
rnacentral:rRNA from 1 species